rnacentral:rRNA from 1 species
UACGUAGGGUGCGAGCGUUAAUCGGAAUUACUGGGCGUAAAGCGUGCGCAGGCGGUGAGCUGUGUCCUAUGUGAAAGCCCCGGGCUUAACCUGGGAAUGGCAUUGGAAACUGGCUCGCUGGAGUGUGGCAGAGGGGGGUGGAAUUCCGCGUGUAGCAGUGAAAUGCGUAGAGAUGCGGAGGAACACCGAUGGCGAAGGCAGCCCCCUGGGCUAACACUGACGCUCAGGCACGAAAGCGUGGGGAGCAAACAGG